rnacentral:misc_RNA from 1 species
UAAUAAGUGUUUUAUGGCACUUUUUAAAUCCAUAUCCACCUUGUGUGCAAUGUCGGUCGAUCUUCUUCAUGGAGAUCGACCAAACAUCAACCUUUAUCUUUUAACUCUUUGUCUGGAAAAUAUUAUGAAUAAACAAUUCAAAAUA